GAGGAGCCUAGCCCUAGAAUUCUCAGUUGUUUGGUGAUCAGCACCGAACACAAAAGACUCACCAUAGAGUUUGGGCUGAGCUGGGUUUUCCUUGUUGCUAUCAUAAAAGGUGUCCAAUGUGAGGUGCAGCUGGUGGAGUCUGGGGGAGGCUUGGCAAAGCCUGGGAAGUCCCUGAGACUCUCCUGUGCAGUCUCUGGCUUCAACUUCAGUAGUUCCCACAUGAACUGGAUCCACCAGGUUACAGGGAAGGGCAUGGAGUGGGUUGGACAAAUCAAUCCUGGUGGAGGCGGCACAUACUACACAGACUCCGUGAAGGGCCGAUUCACCAUCUCCACAGACAACGCCAAAAACAAGCUUUUUGUACAAAUGAACAUCCUGAAAACUGAGGACAUGGCCAUCUUUUACUCUACUAGACACGCAACGAGAGGAUGUCAGUGUGAGCCCAGACACAAACCUCCCUGCAGGGGCGCGCGGGUACACUAGGGGGCACUCGGGACCCACUGAGGACCCAGGAGCCCAUGCAGGGGGAGGUUUCCUUUCUCAGCUGCAGGCAGGAGGCAGGUUUGUUUUUGCAGGAUUCUGGAGUUUUAUGAGGUUGUGAUAUUUUACUAUGGUUAUUUAUUAUGAUUUUUUAUUGAGACUUGUGUUUUUUAAGUAAUUUUUAAAUUUAUAUGUAGGGGUAUUUU